CUUGCAUUGCGGUGACCGGCGAAUCCGCCGAAGGCAAUGCAAGUUGCGUACCGGGCGUUGGCCAGACAGUGGCGGCGCGCGGCCCG
rnacentral:sRNA from 17 species